UCACUUAAAUAAAUGCAUUAUUUCUCUGUUUUUUAAAGUGAUUUUGUGCAUGUAAAAAUAUAAAAAACCGAUAACGGCUCUUACCUAGACUUUUCAACUUGUUUGGUUGUGUUUUGAAGUUGGUUUUGUGUUAGAAAAAACGAUAAUGAAACUUCUAUUCCGGCGCUGGUAACACGCAUAGAACAUGGAUCUGAAAAGCAGUUUUGAUGAUUACGCAAAAACGAUUUUUGACAAUGUUUCUGAUGCUGAAGAGGGCAUUAACGAAAGGAAGAAUACAAACACAAGUGUCCGCCAGGAAUAUCAUUUCAUUCCAUCCCGAAAAUGUCAAGACACUAUGUUCAAAAUUGAGCCAACGAAUACUGUGCGUGUGUGUAGUUUCUAUUUCACUACACCUUCAAUAUAUUAUAUUUUCCAUCAAUUUUAAAGUGGACUCAAGAUUCCUGACCGUUUGCUCAUGAUUAUCGCUUGAGAAAUUGUUGAUAUGUCAAAU